rnacentral:rRNA from 1 species
GACGAACGUUGGCGGCGUGCUUAAUACAUGCAAGUCCACUGAAGCAGUGGUAGCAAUAUCGCUGUGUAGGUGGCGCACGGGUGAGUAACACGUAGGUAAUCUGCCUUCAGGUCUGGCAUAACUCCGGGAAACCGGGGCUAAUAGCAGAUGAUGCAGCGGCUCGACAUCGAGACAGUUGUUAAAGCUAUGGCGCCUGAAGAUGAGUCUGCGUCUGAUUAGCUAGUUGGCGGGGUAACGGCCCACCAAGGCAACGAUCAGUGGCUGGUCUGAGAGGAUGAUCGAGCACACUGGAACUGAGACACGGACCAGACUCCGACGCGAGGCAGCAGGAAGGAAUAAUGCGCAAAGGGAGAAAUCCUGAAGCAGCAACGCCGCGUGAGGGACGAAGGGCGUUAGCUUGUAAACCUCUGUAGUGAGAGAAAAAAAUCCCAAUCUUUGGGACAUGAUGGUAACUCAAAAGUAAGCCCCGGCUAACUACGUG